rnacentral:rRNA from 1 species
GACGAACGCUGGCGGCGUGCUUAACACAUGCAAGUCGAACGGAAAGGCCCUGCUUUUGUGGGGUGCUCGAGUGGCGAACGGGUGAGUAACACGUGAGUAACCUGCCCUCGACUUUGGGAUAACUUCAGGAAACUGGGGCUAAUACUGGAUAUGAGCUCCUGCUGCAUGGUGGGGGGUGGAAAGUUUCGGCGGUUGGGGAUGGUCUCGCGGCUGACCAGCUUGUUGGUGGGGUAGUGGCUUACUAAGGCUUCGACGGGUGGUAGGCCUGUGAGGGUGAGCGGCCACAUUGGGACUGAGAUACGGCCGAGGCUGCUGCGGGGGGUAGCAGUGGGGAAGAGUGAGCAAGGGGCGGAGGCGUGAUGCAGCGACGCCGGGUGCGGGAUGUGGGCAUUCGGGUGGUAAACCGUUUACGCGUGUCACGGAGCGUGGGGGACGGUAAUGGGAAAGGGAGCACCGGCAAACUACGU